rnacentral:RNase_P_RNA from 1 species
GAGUUGGCUGUACGGCAGCGGCGUGCGCUUUUUUGCACGCUGAGGAAAGUCCGAGCAUCGCAGAGCAGGGUAGUUGAUAACGUCAACCGAGGGUGACCUCCGAGCCAGUGCAACAGAAAUAUACCGCCUCUUUUAAAGAGGUAAGGGUGGAAAGGCGAGGUAAAAGCUCACCGGAGCAGUCGUGAGGCUGCUGCCAUGUAAACCUUACCCGAUGCAACGCCAAUGGCAGUUCAAAGCAUAAUGGCUGCUCGUCAGUGCUUUGUCUGUAGGCGGCUUGAGCUGUGCGGCAACGUACAGUCGAGAUAGAUUGCCGUACUCGACAAAACUCGGCUUACAGGCCGGCUCGC